rnacentral:rRNA from 1 species
CCUACGGGAGGCAGCAGUGGGGAAUAUUGGACAAUGGGGGGAACCCUGAUCCAGCGACGCCGCGUGAGUGAAGAAGGAUUUCGGUAUGUAAAGCUCUAUCAGCAGGGAAGAAAGAAAUGACGGUACCUGACUAAGAAGCCACGGCUAACUACGUGCCAGCAGCCGCGGUAAUACGUAGGGGGCAAGCGUUAUCCGGAUUUACUGGGUGUAAAGGGAGCGUAGACGGCGAUGCAAGUCUGAGGUGAAAGGCAGGGGCUCAACCCGCGGACUGCUUUGGAAACUGUAUGGCUGGAGUGCAGGAGAGGUAAGUGGAAUUCCUAGUGUAGCGGUGAAAUGCGUAGAUAUUAGGAGGAACACCAGUGGCGAAGGCGGCUUACUGGACUGUAACUGACGUUGAGGCGCGAAAGCGUGGGGAGCAAACAGGAUUAGAUACCCUUGUAGUC